rnacentral:lncRNA from 10 species
GAGAACUUCCCUUUUGCUGUUCAAGUUUCAUCUUCAGUUAUCAGGAACUGAGCAGGGGGCACCAGGACUUGGAGCUACAGCAACACGGGUCUGUGAAACUGCUGCUCUCUGGAGAUGAAUACUCUUCUUUCUUUUUGAAUAUACCUCACCACCGUGAAAAGUCACUUCAUACUCCAAGAUGAUUGCCAGAGCUCCAUCCAUCAGGUCCACAUUCCAGGCCAACAGCAAGAGAAAGGAGAAGAAAAAGAAAAGGGUGUCUGCUCCUCACUUUUACAGAAGCUUUUCCAGAAGUCUCACAUGACUUUUCUAUGUAUGCUUCAUUGGGCGUCAUUUUGUCAUAUGGCUACGUCUAGCUGCAAGGAAGGCUGGGAAGCGUAAUCUUUCAGCUGGGGAUAUUGCCCAGGAUGCAGUUACUAAGGAAGAAGGAGAGGAUGGAUGUGGUAUUAUGCUGAGGAAAAGGAGCCAGGACACAAAAAGGGUACAUAGUAUAUGAUUCUAAUUCAUAGAGACAGAAAACAAGAUAUAACUUAUAGUGACAGAAAACUCAUCAUUGAUUGCACACCAGGAUGGAAUGAGAAAGUACAAGGAA